GAUGAAGAACGUAGCGAAAUGCGAUAAGUAAUGUGAAUUGCAGAAUUCAGUGAAUCAUCGAAUCUUUGAACGCACCUUGCGCUCCUUGGUAUUCCGAGGAGCAUGCCUGUUUGAGUGUCAUUAAUAUAUCAACCUCUUCAGCUUAUGCUUGUUGAGUGUUGGAUGGUGGGGGUUUGCUGGUGUCUUAUGAAGUCAGCUCCUCUGAAAUGCAUUAGCGGAACAAUUUGUUGACCGUUCAUUGGUGUGAUAAAAAUAUCCACGCUAUUGACGUCAGUCAGUUCAGCUUCUAACAGUCCAUUGACUUGGACAAAUUUUUCAUUAAUGUGACCUCAAAUCAGGUAGGACUACCCGCUGAACUUAAGCAUAUCAAUAAGCGGAGGA
rnacentral:misc_RNA from 1 species